rnacentral:rRNA from 1 species
AUGAGUGCAUCUCUUCCUCUUGCUCCUGUGUGCAAGAAAGCUCCAAGCUCUAGUUCCUCAUCUAAUUUUCCUGUCUUGCUGCUCUGGUCUCGUGAAUUUCUGCAUCGUGAAAGGUUAUAUAUGGAUGACAUUGUUGAUGCAUUGCUUCUCAAGCUUCACUCAAAGAUAUGUUAUCAUAGGGAUGCCAGUGUCGACUACCUGGAAAUCAAGGCCACGGUUGAUAAACUCGUAGAGGCGAACAAAAGGCUCAAGGAUGAGAAAGUGGACUUCCAGGAUGUCAUUAAUAUGGUCACAGAAGACAAGGAGAAUUUGCAGCAUGACUGUCAAGUAAUCAAGGAGCGGGUGGCAAAAAAGGAGGAGCAACUUGAAACUGUAAAGAAGGAACUUGAUGAAGCAAAACAUGAACAUGUGGCAGCAAAGAAGGAGCUUGAGGAAGAAAAACUUGGCCAUGUGGCAAGGAGCUUGCAGCGGCACACCAACAACUUGCUCAAAGGAACGAAGAGCUGGAGAUUUUAA